CUUCGAGAGACAAUUGUUUUUUAUGACUAUUGCCGUUUUCAGAUUUUUUUUAUAUGCAAUCCUGAUUUUCAUACAAAUUUUCAAAAACUGGGAAACUCACCACAUUUUGAAAUAAAAAUCAUCAUGCGAAGUAGUUUUUGGUAGCCCUAACGUGGUGAACUUUUUUUUCACCUCUCAGAAAAUGAGGACCACCUGGAAACCCUAACAUGUGUUUUUGUAAAUAUUCAGAACUGUCAAAUAGUACGGAAAACUGAAAAAAAAGAAAAACCGAAAAAAACUUUCGGUAAUUUGUGGUUUUCGUUUGUAAAAAGAAUCCGGGAAGUUUUCGUCGGGGGAAGGUUAACAUAAUGUAUACGGCGCAUCGAUCCGGUUGUGGCCUCAGUGAGAAUAACCGAGCAAAAAGUGAUUCAGUGCGGCAAGUACGGAGUUUGAUCACCGGUGCCAGUCAAACCGCGGGCGCCUCGGAAACGGGUCUGCAGUCCUCUCGCUAUCGCUGCUCUUGAAUGACGGCAAACCUAAAAGCGACAGCGCAGUCUAGUCCCAGUGCCGCCUCCAGCGACAAAAUUCCGGCAGCAACAGUUGGUAGAAAGUGAUGUAUAUGCGAGUCCAAAUUCCAAAUUACGAUGAGCUCAUACUAGCGAAAGAAGCAGAGGAAGAUUUUCUCGUCGGGAAAGUGUGUGGUGACACAAGGACGAUAGGAAGAAGCAUGGUGAAUCGCUAGAGCGCUAACUGGACAAAAAUAUCAAACCGGUGGUAAUAUAUGAUAUAUGAUAUCCGGCAAGCAGCUUAUUUCCACCUCAAGAAAGUGAUCGUUCUGUGCGACAAGCGGUACCAACAUGCGAUCUUUUCGGACCGAACACUUCUCCGGAACCGGCCCUCGUCAGAAUCCUAUUAUCCUUUCGAACCAGUCAAGUCUCCGACUCAAUCGCUAGGUUCCGGAAAUAAUCUGUGCCGUUAAUAUGCGAUUAGCUAUUAUAGGAAAAGCAUCUGCGAGUGGCGGAGGAUCUGCCUCGGGAUCUGCAGAUGGCGACGAUCUCCCACACAUCGGUCAAUUUCAACAGCGCCGUCGGCGAUCACUACGACGACAAUGUCUCUGAUCUGCAUCCGACGCCUCCGAUAAAUCAGCUCUUCUCACGUAACAUUCCGGCAGUUAUCGAUUACAGCUCACAGACCUUCGCCGAUGAUGGAAUCGAGUCACGUUCCGGCCACGGUCACGAUUAUCUCUAGUGUCGUGGUGUCUGCAGUGACCGUCAUCGGUAUUCCGACCUUCGGAAGGCAUAGACGAUGACGACGGGUACAUUUAUUCGCUGCUUUCGUCACGAUCGAGAAACUGUGACGACCACAUGUUCGAACCCCCGCCGAAUGGUGGUUUGUCCAAUGAAAGCGGAAGUCACAGCAGCCCAACAACUUCGCCUUCACGGUGGACAACCUGAGGAAGGUCUUCGGUAACGACAAAAAAGCAUUGCGGAACCUGAACCCCAAUAAUACCGUGCUGGUGAUGGGAGAGAUGUAUAAAUGUAAGCUUCCGCGGGCGGAUUCAGAGAUAAGUUUAUUCUGGCAAGCAUGGCUGUUGAAGAUUUAUCAUUCCACCUGCACGUCGAACAUCAUCAAGACAUUGGACAAGUCUUAGUUUACUUUACAAGGAAUCUUAGUUUACUGUAAUAUUUAUAUUACUUAUAAGUAAAUCGUACCUUUUGGGAUAGUGGGGGGGGGGAGUGUUUGGUGUGUAUGUUCUGCUGGGCUCUAUAAACUAUCCGAAAAUCCGAGGGUGAAUACACCAACUUUUCCAUGGUUGAAACAUUCAGUAAUUCAUAAGUGAUUCUUGCAUUUAAUUGUAUUUUCGUUCAAGCACUAUACUAAAAGCGACAUUUUUUUAAAUUUUCUUACGCUGCUUUUUCACAUGUUGAACACUAGGUAGGGGAACUUACGUAUUUCCGGCCGUUUUUUUCUCUUCGUCAUCUUUUUUUUUAAUUUGUUGAACUUAAAGUUGGCCUCGAAUAUUUCCCAGUAACGACCAAGUUACUAGAAAUUUUGGUCAGCAAAAACCCCUCAUGACAAAGAGAACAAACCUGCCGAUAAUACCCAAAGUCACCCUAUGUCGGAAUUUGUGCGCUCUGUAUCAAGUUUUCAAUACAAAGCAGCGACGUGACGUAGUACAUGAUUUUUUAAACAUAUUAUUUCUCCAACUUCAUAAUAGUUUAUAAGUUAUUGCGUUUUGUCAAAAAUAACCUAAGCUGGAUCACCAAGAAGACUAAAGCUGCAUCACCAAGGUAAAACUUGCGACUUAUCAACUUUUUGACUCAUUUCUUUAGAUUAAAACUUUGAAAUAGUUUAUUUAUAAGGUAUUGUUGCGUUUCAUAAGAAAUAGUCAAAGCUGGAUCACCAAGUCUUCUCAAACUGCGAGGUGACGCAUUACUUACAAGAUUACUUAUCUACCUUUUAACUUAUUUUCUUUUGAAAACAACUCUGAAAUAGUUCAUAAAUUAAUAGGUAUGUUUAUAAAUGAAUUUAUAAAUUAAUAUCUGCAGAAAUGAAAUGACCAAAGCUGGAUCACCAAGUCCCCUCAAGUUGCGAGGCGAUGCAUUACUUAUCUAAAAGUUGACUUAUAUUUUUUAUAUUACAAAUUGGAAAUAGUUUAUAAGUUAUUACUGCGUUUCAUCAGGAAUAAUCACUUAUCCACUUUUUGACUCAUUCUUUAUAUUACUGCGUUUCAUCAGAAAUAGUCAUAGCUGGAUCACUAACUCUAACGUCUAAUGUCAUGAAGAAGGUUCACCAAGUCCUCUGAAGUUGUUUGGUGACGCACAAUGUAUCUACUUAGAAAAUAGAAUCAUUCCUCUAAAUUAUCAGAACUUGUCAUGAAGAAGGUUCACCAAGUCCUCUGAAGUUGUUUGGUGACGCACAAUGCAUCUACUUAGAAAAUAGAACCAUUCCUCUCAAGUAUUAGAACUUGCCAUGAAGAAGGUUCACCAAGUCCUCUGAAGUUGUUUGGUGACGCACAAUGUAUCUACUUAGAAAAUAUAAUCAUUCCUCUAAAUUAUCAGAACUUGUCAUGAAGAAGGUUCACCGAGUCCUCUGACGUUGUUUGGUGACGCACAAUGUAUCUACUUAGAAAAUAGAAUCAUUCCUCUAAAUUAUCAGAACUUGUCAUGAAGAAGGUUCACCAAGUCCUCUGAAGUUGUUUGGUGACGCACAAUGCAUCUACUUAGAAAAUAUAAUCAUUCCUCUAAAUUAUCAGAACUUAUCAUGAAGAAGGUUCACCAAGUCCUCUCAAGUUGUUUGGUGACGCACAAUGUAUCUACUUAGAAAAUAGAAUCAUUCCUCUAAAUUAUCAGAACUUGUCAUGAAGAAGGUUCACCAAGUCCUCUGAAGUUGUUUGGUGACGCACAAUGUAUCUACUUAGAAAAUAGAACUACUCCUCUCAAGUAUUAGAACUUGCCAUGAAGAAGGUUCACCAAGUCCUCUGAAGUUGUUUGGUGACGCACAAUGUAUCUACUUAGAAAAUAGAAUCAUUCCUCUAAAUUAUCAGAACUUGUCAUGAAGAAGGUUCACCAAGUCCUCUGAAAAUGUUUGGUGGCGCACAAUGCUUCUACUUAGAAAAUAGAACCAUUCCUUUCAAAUAUCAGAACUUGCCAUGAAGAAGGUUCACCAAGUCCUCUGAAGUUGUUUGGUGACGCACAAUGUAUCUACUUAGAAAAUAGAACCAUUCCUCUCAAAUAUUAGAACUUGCCAUGAAGAAGGUUCACCAAGUCCUCCACUUUGAGUAUAGAACCAUUCAUUCUAACCAUCAGAUCUUGCCAUGAAGAAGGUUCCUAAAGUCCUCUGAAGUUGCUUAUUGACGAUCAAUACAUUUAAUAUGAAAAUAGAUCGUUUCUCCUUGUAGUUACUGCAGUAGUCCAAGAGAUGUUCUUUCUUGUAGUCAGAGCAUAUCGUUAAGAAGGAUCAUUAAGUCCUCUGAUGCUUGGUUUAUUCACUAUCAUUCUAUUUUAAUAAAUGUGGUGAGUGGCAAAAGAUCAAUGGUAAUGCUAACUAGUGUAAAUCAUCUUAAGGUAGCAAAAGGGACAAACCUCUCACCUGCCAUUAUACAAAUUUAUGGGUUCGCCCAGUUUCAUAUCUUUUCUCGCCUUUUGCACAUAUAAGCAUUUGCAUAUUUUCUUUAUAUUUAUUAACGUAAAUUUCCAUGAAAUCUAAUACCUCACUUGUUUAUACAAGUUUUAUUAAUCUCUUAAUGUCACGGUAGUCUCGACGGUAGUAGUCAUCCAUAUGGCAAAUGCCAAAACGGUAAAAUCGCUCGCUGCGAGCAGGCGUUGGAAUGACAGCGUAGAUUUGGCCGAUCGUGUAGCAAGGAGGCGCGUAAAGUGGCUAAACAUCGCCCAGAAUAAUCGCCGGAA